rnacentral:rRNA from 1 species
UACGUAGGGCGCAAGCGUUGUCCGGAAUUAUUGGGCGUAAAGAGCUCGUAGGCGGCCUGUUGCGUCCGCUGUGAAAUCCCGGGGCUUAACCCCGGGUCUGCAGUGGAUACGGGCAGGCUAGAGGCAGGCAGGGGAGAACGGAAUUCCCGGUGUAGCGGUGAAAUGCGCAGAUAUCGGGAAGAACACCCGUGGCGAAGGCGGUUCUCUGGGACGGUACUGACGCUGAGACGCGAAAGCGUGGGGAGCGAACAGG